CCGGCCAUGGACUUUCCACCGAGCGAUGCCUUGGCCCGUCGUCAGUCGCGAGUGGAGCGGCGUACCGUAACCUGAAAGCGGCUGAAAGAAGGCCACUGAGCAAACACCGAGAAAGCCCCCAAAAGCAGGACGAGCAGGAGCAAGAGCAAGAGCACGAGCACGAGAAUUGUGUCCAGCAGCAGAUUGUGCUAAUUUCUGUGUGGGGGAGCAUACUUUUUGGCGCGCUGCUUAUAAUCCGAAUGUCGUCUAAGUGAAUGUGAAAUGUGACAGGCCACAGUGACAGUUGACAAAAGCCAAGCGACAAAAACGAGGAAAACCAAACGAUGAAAACGGGAGGAAAACCAAAAGGAGGGAAAACCAGAUGGAAACAAGUUGCUGUUGAUGUUGGCUACUGGUUCCUGCUUCAAGUCGAGUCGAGUCCUGUCGUGUCCUGUGCUGUCCUGUGCUGUGCUGGUGCCCCCAGGAGACAUUUAACAUAAUAAAAACGAACGUGUGCGGCAUUUUUGUGCUGCUUUAACAGUAUCUCUCCAACAGUAUCUGUGUGCUAAUAACACCCAGAUACACCCACACACACACACAGAGAGAGAGACAAACAAACAAUAUGUGUGCAAAUGUGUGCGUGAAGCAGUUGGGAAAAGUGUCGUAAAUCGUUUAGACAGCGAAACGUGGAACCAUCCCGAAAAGAGGAAGCAAAAUGGCAGAGGAAACGAUAUGUAAACGACACAGUCGCCGUGGGAAAAACUCAUCCAAAAACAAAAAACAAAAAGAAAAGAAGAGGAAAACAAGGAGAAAGGGAAACCCCACUGCAGUUGUUGCUCAUAUGUACGCCUAAAAAUUGGAAAUUCUGGAUGAAAUGGUUCUUUUAAAAAUCAAGUUACAAAGAUUGCUGAAGUAUCAUCUUUUCUUGUGGCAUUUCGUGUGAUUUGUGACAUGCCGUGUGACUUUUUCCAUGGAUGAUUUUCUGCCCCCCCGCGAAACGAUGAUGAAACGAUGAUACGACCGAUGAGGUGUGGCCUAUCAAAAUAUUGUGAUGAUAAAUAUAAAAUAUUGCCAUAAAUAAACCAAUUUUACAGAAAGAAAAAACAAAGAAAAAUAAAAUAUACAGUCUAUAAAAAAAUACA